rnacentral:rRNA from 1 species
CGGCUUCCUGGAACAGUCCUGACACUGAGAGCGAAAAGCGUGGGGAGCAAAACAGGGAUUUAGAUACCCUGGUAGUCCACGCCCUAAAACGAUGGGUACUAAGUGUGGAGGGGUUAAACCCUCCGUGCCGCAGCAAACGCAGUAAGUACCCCGCCUGGGGAGUACGGCCGCAAGGUUAAAACUCAAAGGAAUUGACGGGGGCCCGCACAAGCGGUGGUGCAUGUGGUUUAAUUCGACGCAACGCGAGGAACCUUACCUAGGCUUGACAUGUGGUGAGUAGCGAACCGAAAGGGGAGCGACC